GUUGAAGCUGGCUUUUUGGGUUUAGGUUCUUGUGACAGCAGCCUCAACCAACUCCACAAGCCCCUACUCUGUAGGAAUCUCAUGCCCUGGUCGCUAUGCGAAAGCCGGCUAUAUGUUCCUGUGAGGUCUCCCCAGUGAACUCAGCAGCAAUUCCAUGUAUGGAAGGAAGAUAGAUAAAGGUCCCACUGAUCUUGCUGGAUUGGAAAUGGAUAGCUAUCACACUGAGGACCACUAGGUGUUGGUUGCUAAUUGGAAAAGUCAUCUGAAAACUUUCUUGAAACAACCAUUGGGUAAGUCAUUUGGACAUUGCUUUUCACUCUGUUCUUCAUCCUGAGAGUUGAUGUGGGCUGGCUCUUAAACCCACUAGGCCUUGCUUUAAUCAUAAACAUAAUCAAACUUGUUCGUACUUUGGAAAAUUAUACUCCCUGAAUCCACAAUUGUUUUAUAUGGGUGAAAGAUGAUAGUAUAACUUGUAAAGGUAGAAUGAAAGGGCC
rnacentral:lncRNA from 1 species